UACGGGGGGAGCAAGCGUUGUUCGGAUUUACUGGGCGUAAAGGGCGCGUAGGCGGUCAGCACAAGUCAGUUGUGAAAUCUCCGGGCUUAACUCGGAAAGGUCAACUGAUACUGUGCGACUAGAGUGCGGAAGGGGCAACUGGAAUUCUCGGUGUAGCGGUGAAAUGCGUAGAUAUCGGGAGGAACACCAGAGGCGAAGGCGGCGACCUGGACAGGCACUGACACUCAACUACGAAAGCGUGGGGAGCAAACAGG
rnacentral:rRNA from 1 species